rnacentral:rRNA from 2 species
CCAAUAGCGUAUAUUAAAGUUGUUGCAGUUAAAAAGCUCGUAGUUGAAUUUCGGGGUCAGUAGGUUGGUCGUGCCACCGGUACGUACUGGUCUCACUGAUUCCUCCUUCCUGAUGAGCCGUAAUGCCAUUAAUUUGGUGUUGCGGGGAAUUUGGACUGUUACUUUGAAAAAAUUAGAGUGUUUAAAGCAGGCUAACGCUUGAAUACAUUAGCAUGGAAUAAUGAAAUAGGACGUUCGAUCCUAUUUUGUUGGUUUCUAGGAUUGACGUAAUGAUUAAUAGGGAUAGUUGGGGGCAUUAGUAUUCAAUUGUCAGAGGUGAAAUUCUUGGAUUUAUUGAAGACUAACUACUGCGAAAGCAUUUGCCAAGGAUGUUUUCAUUAAUCAAGAACGAAAGUUAGGGGAUCGAAGACGAUCAGAUACCGUCGUAGUCUUAACCAUAAACUAUGCCGACUAGGGAUCGGAUGAUGUUAAUUUUUUAAUGACUCAUUCGGCGCCUUACG